UACAGAGGUCCCAAGCGUUGUCCGGAAUCACUGGGCGUAAAGGGCGCGUAGGCGGCCUGAUAAGUAGAGGGUGAAAUCCUGCGGCUUAACCGCAGGGCUGCCUUCUAAACUGUCAGGCUAGAGCACAGUAGAGGCAGGUGGAAUUCCCGGUGUAGCGGUGGAAUGCGUAGAGAUCGGGAAGAACAUCAGUGGCGAAGGCGGCCUGCUGGGCUGUUGCUGACGCUGAGGCGCGACAGCGUGGGGAGCAAACAGG
rnacentral:rRNA from 1 species